ACUCUGUUUCUGGGUCACUCGCGAGGCGAGAGCCUCUGCUCGCCGUGGCAACUUCAGGUCAGAAUUCCAAAAGUUUCAUUCUAAAUCUUUCCAGGUUCAAUCUCAUUUUACAUUCUUUCCUAAUCAUUAUUAGACAUGUUCAGGCACUCAAAAGCAUCUAAGGAUCAACUCAAAAGUCAAAAUCACGAAAUCUUGCAUGCUCUCUGGUCAAGCUCGCUAGGCGAGUUCAUCU
rnacentral:lncRNA from 1 species